GUUUCUUCUCUGUUUGACAGCCUUGUGCAGCUGGGAGUUGCUCAGACUACCGGUCAGAUGGUGUACUCCUCUGUGAGGCCAGGCCCUGAUGCACCCCUCCUCAGUUUUCCUCAACCAUGAACAGUCUUCAUCCCAAGCCUGUCAGCUCUAAUAAGGCAGAGCUAGAAGACCUGGUGUCACAAAGAGGACUUGGAAAUAUCUGCCUUUAAAGCAGAACCAUUGAAACAGAAACAUAUGCCAGAAACCAGAAUUUUAGAAUUGGAAAAUUGAAUUCUUGUGUGUGUUUGCAAUCUACAGUUACAAUUUUUUAUGUUAGCUAAAGUUUAAUAUAAAGACUGAGGGAAAAGUGACUAUAUAAGUGCACACUAGCUCAAGGAGCUCUCCCAGAGGAAAAGCAUGGAUUGCAUCAAAUUCCAUCUGACCCAGUUGUGAUAACCAUCUUGCAGACACUCAUGGCAAAAAACAAGGGUUAGGGACUAAGACCUUAGGGAAUGCACUUGAAAUGCUGCCAGUUUAUUCAGUUGCCUCCCACCCCUAAAUUAAAUGACAAUCUUGUCAAUCAAGAAGCUAGAUAGUACAGCAGCACAGUAAAAUGCAGUCCAGAAAAGAAGUGUUACCAUGGUACAAAAUGACCUUUUCCCUGAUGGAAGACUGAAGAUUCGCAUAGAUAAUAAAUAUUUAUUAGAUGUGAAUGUUAAAAGGAAGAUACAAUUCUUAGAAUAUCCAGAGUUCUAAUAUUCAAGGUGUUAUUGAAUCUCUAAAUGCAUCAAACACCACCAAUACAAACUCAUAGACUGGAUUUUUGGAGGGUGUUUAUUUCAAAAAUUCUUAUGUAGUAAAAAGGUUUAUGAAUGCAAUGGAAAGACUUUCUGGAAUAGAAAGUUGUGAAAAUUAAAUUUUCUGUGUCUUUAUUUCAACUUUAUCAUUAGUUUUACUUCGUUUCCUAUUUUU